GACGAACGCUGGCGGCGUGCUUAACACAUGCAAGUCGAACGGAAAGGCCCUGCUUUUGUGGGGUGCUCGAGUGGCGAACGGGUGAGUAACACGUGCGUAACCUGCCCUUGCCUUUGGGAUAACUUCCGGAGACUGGGGCUAAUACCGGCUAGGAGCUCCUGCUGCAUGGUGGGGGUUGGAUAGUUUCGGCGGUUGGGGAUGGACUCGCGGCUUAUCAGCUUGUUGGUGGGGUUGUGGCUUACCAAGGCUUUGACGGGUAGCCGGCCUGAGAGGGUGACCGGCCACAGUGGGACUGAGAUACGGCCCAGACUCCUACGGGAGGCAGCAGUGGGGAAUAUUGAACAAUGGGCGGAAGCCUGAUGCAGCAACGCCGCGUGCGGGAUGACGGCCUUCGGGUUGUAAACCGCUUUCGCCUGUGACGAAGCGUGAGUGACGGUAAUGGGUAAAGAAGCACCGGCUAACUACGUG
rnacentral:rRNA from 1 species